rnacentral:rRNA from 1 species
AACGAACGCUGGCGGCAGGCCUAACACAUGCAAGUCGAACGUGAAGCCGCCUUCGGGCGGUGGAAAGUGGCAGACGGGUGAGUAACGCGUGGGAAUCUACCCAGUGGUACGGAAUAACCC